rnacentral:rRNA from 1 species
AUUGAACGCUGGCGGAAUGCUUUACACAUGCAAGUCGAACGGCAGCACGGACUUCGGUCUGGCGGCGAGUGGCGAACGGGUGAGUAAUGUAUCGGAGCGUGCCCAGUCGUGGGGGAUAACGUAGUGAAAAUUACGCUAAUACCGCAUACGAUCUAUGGAUGAAAGCGGGGGAUCGCAAGACCUCGCGCGAUUGGAGCGGCCGAUAUCAGAUUAGGUAGUUGGUGGGGUAAAGGCCCACCAAGCCAACGAUCUGUAGCUGGUCUGAGAGGACGACCAGCCACACUGGAACUGAGACACGGUCCAGACUCCUACGGGAGGCAGCAGUGGGGAAUUUUGGACAAUGGGCGAAAGCCUGAUCCAGCCAUUCCGCGUGCAGGAUGAAGGCCCUCGGGUUGUAAACUGCUUUUGUACAGAACGAAAAGGUUUCUACUAAUACUAGGAGCUCAUGACGGUACUGUAAGAAUAAGCACCGGCUAACUACGUGCCAGCCGCCGCAGUAA